rnacentral:rRNA from 1 species
CCCGUCACACCAUGGAAGUCGUAUUGCACCAGAAGCACGGUAGCCUGACCGCAAGGAGGGCGCCUACCACGGUGUGGUCCAUGACUGGGGUG